UGUUCUAUUUGAAAAACAAGAAAUCUUCAUGAAAAUUCAAUACUUUUUUAAUGAAGUCAAGUUACAGAAAAGAAGAUAUCAUCAUUGCUAUUGUUGUUUGAAAGGAGUUUAAUGUUUGGUGCAUGAAACAUUUGCUUGGUGCCAAUUUCACAGUGCAAACCGACUGAGUUCAGAAUGCCCCAAAAGGACAGCUCCUGCCCUGUGCUACAGUACACCAGGACACAGAGAGAUUCUCCAUCUGCUACCUUUUAAUACUACCAUGAGUAUGUAAUGAGAAUCAUUGGGGGAGGAGUCAAGAUGGCCACUUAGAAGCAGCUAAGUCCAGACAUCUGUGAAAAUCCUUCCACAUCCAUCAAAAACAAAAUGCUUCGAUCAAAUCUAACAAUAGGACAGAGCUGGGGGACCCUCCACUUCAAUUCAACUUAUAAGUCUUUGAGGGAUGCUGCUAUUGCUGAUGCCGAUUCUUCAAAAAAGUUUGUGAGUCAGCCUGAGAAGCUGUUAUCUAAAAGGAGUCAUUGGGUCCCAAAGAAAAGAAAUGAUAUCUUCCUGCCAAUGGGGUUUGAUAUCCUCCUUCCUGUCUGGCCACUGAAGCAGCUUCUCUGAGGACUCCAAGUCCAAAGAUAAGAUAUCAGUUGCAUAUUUUCCAUGGUUAUAUUCAGACACUGAACCCAAACUAAGGGAUAAAAGGUCCCAUUCAUAAUGUGGCUAUUUUCUAUUAUGACUCCAGAAUUUCCUCUUUUUUUCCUUUCUUGAAUAUUUUAGUAAACUAAAUUACUUAAAUGUUGUAUAUUAUAUGUGUCAGUCUAAGGUAAAGUCCAAAAGAAGAAUGUUUACAAUUAUAGUUUAUUUGAAGGAUAAAGAUGCAUUAAAAAGAAAUUGAAGAUAGAUAAAAGGCUUCUAAAAAUUGUAAAAUGAACAGAAAAUUAACAAUGAAUAAAUUUUAUCAAGCAAUAUAAUAACA
rnacentral:lncRNA from 1 species